GUCAGAAUCUGAUUUUUAAUUAAAGCUCUUUAUCAGACUAAUAUAUCAGCAGGCCAGUGCUGCUGACUAGCUCCAGGGAUGACAGAAUGAUAUAGCCAGUGGGCAUAUCUGUUUAAUUUCUGCAGCAAUAUACUUCCAGCUGUUUCUUCAGGAUAAAUUAGAUUAAUUUUGGAAUUAAAAGGAGAAAAAAAUCACUGAAGAUGAAAGUCCAGUUUUCAUCCACAGCUGAAAACAUGAAUCUCAUUGUUGGAUAGGUGUGCUGAAAUUUCUUUGUUUUCCUUGUUUUCAAAGUCAGCUGUCGUCUGUGGCGUCUAUGACUCAAUGGCAGCUGAGUCACACAUUCUCUUCUCAUCUCAUCUUAUCGGUUUCUUUAGCUGUAGACAGAAAAGGGGGAGAACAAGACACCGCACGAAGUGGCUAAUGGGACAGGUUAUGAACUGUAUGAGAAGAUGCAGCCAUCCAGGCAAUAAUGAGAGACUUUGUUUAGAAGUAAGUUCAGCUUUCAAGAUCUCACAAACAACAAACAUUUGGCCUUUAUUCUGAGGAAAAGAAAAGUUGGGUGCUCAUUAAAAGCCGCGCACAAAGAAGUGACAUGAAGAUGAGAGGUAAAGAGAAAACAAGAUGACAUUUCAUUAAAAAAAAAAAAAAAAACAGUUUCUCUUCAUUUCACCAUUAACAUAGAUAGAUUCGUCCAUCCCUUAUCACCUGAUGUUGUGCUAUAUAUGGUGCUGGUUUGCUGGUUAUGCAAUGUGUUUCUAGUCCACGUAUGUGGACGUCUCCAAAAAUGUUGUGACAGAGUCAACAAAAUGCUAGAAAGUAAACUUGAAACUAAUUCGGUUCAUUCUGGUCUGCAAAAACAUUGUCUAGUAAAUGUGGAACAAUUUCAGAUAAAUAAUUGCAAAGGGCGAGAGGUGGGGUACAUCGUGGACAGGUGGCCAGUCUGUCACAGGGCUAGCACAGAGAGACGGGCAACCAUUCCCACCGAAGGGGAAUUUAGAAUAGUUAACCUAAAACCACUAACUGCACGUCUUUGGACUGGGGGAGGAAGCACCCGGAGAGAAUCCACGUAAACACAUGGAGAACAUUCAAAAUGCACACUGAAAUACCCCAGCUGACCCUGAGCCAGAGGCGUGACCUGUGUGGCCUGGCAGCAUGUCGGCAGGUAAGUGAUAUAGUACAGCGGUACCAACCGUGAGUCGUUU
ensembl:lncRNA